GAUUAGGGUUUACAUCUACCGAAUACGGGGCAGAAGACCAAAAAUCUGGCUGAGAAAACAAGGGGUUUAACAAUACCGACUACUGGGUAAGAAACCAAAGACUCAGCUGAGGAUAAAAUUGCUAGCAACCGGCAAUUAUCCACAUGUAUCAUAAGAUACAACUCCGCUGGAAAGACAAAUCACAGCGACAAAGGAUUUACAACUACCGAAUACGGGGUAGAAGACCACAAACUCCACUGGGGAUACAAAUCACCACCGGGAACAGAACUCUGUUAGGGAUAAAGCCACAACAACAGAAGAUCCACCAUCAGCCAGACCGAACCACAAAGGUUAC
rnacentral:lncRNA from 1 species